CCUACGGGUGGCAGCAGUGGGGGAUAUUGGACAAUGGGGGAAACCCUGAUCCAGCGAUGCCGCGUGAGGGAAGAAGGUUUUCGGAUUGUAAACCUCUGUGGAGGGGGACGAAACUGACGGUACCCCUUUAGUAAGCCACGGCUAACGACGUGCAAGCAGCCGCGGUAAUACUGAGGUGGCGAGCGUUGUCCGGAAUUACUGGGGGUAAAGGGAGAGUAGGCGGGAAAGCAAGUCAGACGUGAAACCUAUGGGCUUAACCCAUAGCCUGCUUUUGAAACUGUUUUUCUUGAGUGAAGUAGAGGCAAGCGGAAUUCCUAGUGUAGCGGUGAAAUGCGUAGAUAUUAGGAGGAACACCAGUGGCGAAGGCGGCUUGCUGGGCUUUUACUGACGCUGAGGCUCGAAAGCGUGGGGAGCAAACAGGAUUAGAUACCCUGGUAGUC
rnacentral:rRNA from 1 species